UGGGGAAUUUUGGACAAUGGGGGCAACCCUGAUCCAGCAAUGCCGCGUGUGUGAAGAAGGCCUUCGGGUUGUAAAGCACUUUUGUCCGGAAAGAAAACGCCGUGGUUAAUACCCGUGGCGGAUGACGGUACCGGAAGAAUAAGCACCGGCUAACUACGUGCCAGCAGCCGCGGUAAUACGUAGGGUGCAAGCGUUAAUCGGAAUUACUGGGCGUAAAGCGUGCGCAGGCGGUCCGCUAAGACAGAUGUGAAAUCCCCGGGCUUAACCUGGGAACUGCAUUUGUGACUGGCGGGCUAGAGUAUGGCAGAGGGGGGUAGAAUUCCACGUGUAGCAGUGAAAUGCGUAGAGAUGUGGAGGAAUACCGAUGGCGAAGGCAGCCCCCUGGGCCAAUACUGACGCUCAUGCACGAAAGCGUGGGGAGCAAACAGGAUUAGAUACCCUGGUAGUCCACGCCCUAAACGAUGUCAACUAGUUGUCGGGUCUUCAUUGACUUGGUAACGUAGCUAACGCGUGAAGUUGACCGCCUGGGGAGUACGGUCGCAAGAUUAAAACUUAAAUGAAUUGACGGGGUC
rnacentral:rRNA from 1 species